rnacentral:rRNA from 1 species
ACGAUAUGCUUUGGGGAGCUGUAAGUAAGCUUUGAUCCAGAGAUUUCCGAAUGGGGAAACCCAGCAUGAGUUAUGUCAUGUUAUCGAUAUGUGAAUACAUAGCAUAUCAGAAGGCACACCCGGAGAACUGAAACAUCUUAGUACCCGGAGGAAGAGAAAGAAAAUUCGAUUCCCUUAGUAGCGGCGAGCGAAACGGGAAGAGCCCAAACCAACAAGCUUGCUUGUUGGGGUUGUAGGACACUCUAUACGGAGUUACAAAGGACGACAUUAGACGAAUCAUCUGGAAAGAUGAAUCAAAGAAGGUAAUAAUCCUGUAGUCGAAAAUGUUGUCUCUCUUGAGUGGAUCCUGAGUACGACGGAGCACGUGAAAUUCCGUCGGAAUCUGGGAGGACCAUCUCCUAAGGCUAAAUACUCUCUAGUGACCGAUAGUGAACCAGUACCGUGAGGGAAAGGUGAAAAGCACCCCGGAAGGGGAGUGAAAUAGAACCUGAAACCGUGUGCUUACAAGUAGUCAGAGCCCGUUAAUGGGUGAUGGCGUGCCUUUUGUAGAAUGAACCGGCGAGUUACGAUUUGAUGCAAGGUUAAGCAGUAAAUGUGGAGCCGUAGCGAAAGCGAGUCUGAAUAGGGCGUUUAGUAUUUGGUCGUAGACCCGAAACCAGGUGAUCUACCCUUGGUCAGGUUGAAGUUCAGGUAACACUGAAUGGAGGACCGAACCGACUUACGUUGAAAAGUGAGCGGAUGAACUGAGGGUAGCGGAGAAAUUCCAAUCGAACCUGGAGAUAGCUGGUUCUCUCCGAAAUAGCUUUAGGGCUAGCCUCAAGUGAUGAUUAUUGGAGGUAGAGCACUGUUUGGACGAGGGGCCCCUCUCGGGUUACCGAAUUCAGACAAACUCCGAAUGCCAAUUAAUUUAACUUGGGAGUCAGAACAUGGGUGAUAAGGUCCGUGUUCGAAAGGGAAACAGCCCAGACCACCAGCUAAGGUCCCAAAAUAUAUGUUAAGUGGAAAAGGAUGUGGCGUUGCCCAGACAACUAGGAUGUUGGCUUAGAAGCAGCCAUCAUUUAAAGAGUGCGUAAUAGCUCACUAGUCGAGUGACACUGCGCCGAAAAUGUACCGGGGCUAAACAUAUUACCGAAGCUGUGGAUUGUCCUUUGGACAAUGGUAGGAGAGCGUUCUAAGGGCGUUGAAGCAUGAUCGUAAGGACAUGUGGAGCGCUUAGAAGUGAGAAUGCCGGUGUGAGUAGCGAAAGACGGGUGAGAAUCCCGUCCACCGAUUGACUAAGGUUUCCAGAGGAAGGCUCGUCCGCUCUGGGUUAGUCGGGUCCUAAGCUGAGGCCGACAGGCGUAGGCGAUGGAUAACAGGUUGAUAUUCCUGUACCACCUAUAAUCGUUUUAAUCGAUGGGGGGACGCAGUAGGAUA